GUUUACAUUAAUGCAGUAUUAAUUUUCCAUGCUUUUUCACCUAGGCUUGCAGUUCAGACUUCGGAGUGGUGUUGCGUUCCUUUAUAAAUCUCGGUGCCUGUCCUGCUUUUCUUUCUUAGAUCGCUCCUGUCUUCAUCUACCCCCGGUCCGUUUCCUAAGGCUAUACCAUUAACCUUUCAAUCUUUGUCUUCCACUCCAAGCUAAUGAACGACAAAGAUUUCGUAAAUGGUGUGCAUCGCAUUAAUCGAGAUGACGAUUUUGACCCUGCUAAUCCCCCUCCUUUCAAGAUUGGUGAGAUCCGAGCUGCCAUUCCUAAGCAUUGCUGGGUUAAGAAUCCAUGGAGGUCUCUCAGCUAUGUUUUCAGGGACGUUGUUGUCAUUUUGGCUCUUGCCGCAACUGCACUCUACUUCAAUUCUUGGGCUCUAUGGCCGCUCUACUGGGCUGCUCAGGGGACAAUGUUCUGGGCUAUCUUUGUUCUUGGCCAUGACUGUGGCCAUGGAAGCUUUUCUGAUAUUCCGUUGCUAAAUAAUGUGGUGGGCCAUCUCUUGCAUUCCUCAAUUCUUGUACCUUACCAUGGAUGGAGAAUCAGCCACAGGACUCACCAUCAGAAUCAUGGCAAUGUGGAGAAGGAUGAAUCUUGGGUUCCGUUGCCCGAGAAGAUCUAUAAGAAUUUAGAUUUAAGUACUCGGAUUAUGAGAUACACUGUGCCUCUCCCCAUGUUAGCAUACCCUAUAUAUCUGUGGACAGGAAGUCCAGGCAAAGAAGGUUCACACUUUAAUCCCUCCAAUAAUUUGUUUGCCCCUGGAGAGAGGAAAGCGGUGUUAACUUCAACCGUGUGUUGGACAAUAAUGGUUAUCAUUCUACUUUAUUCAAGCUUUAUUUUUGGCCUUUUCCAAGUGCUUAAGCUAUACGGGGUUCCAUAUUUGAUUUUUGUCAUGUGGCUGGACUUUGUUACAUACCUUCAUCACCAUGGAUAUGAGCAGAAACUUCCAUGGUACCGUGGCAAGGAAUGGAGUUAUUUGCGUGGAGGGCUUACAACUGUUGAUCGUGAUUAUGGAUGGAUCAACAAUAUCCACCACGAUAUUGGCACACAUGUUAUACAUCAUCUCUUUCCUCAAAUCCCACACUAUCAUUUAGUAGAAGCGACAAAGGCAGCUAAGCCAGUGCUUGGGAAGUACUAUCGAGAACCUAAGAGAUCUGGGCCAUUCCCAUUUCAC
rnacentral:misc_RNA from 1 species